UAUUAGAGUUUGAUCCUGGCUCAGAUUGAACGCUGGCGGCAUGCCUUACACAUGCAAGUCGAACGGCAGCACGGGAGCAAUCCUGGUGGCGAGUGGCGAACGGGUGAGUAAUACAUCGGAACGUGUCCAGUAGUGGGGGAUAGCCCGGCGAAAGCCGGAUUAAUACCGCAUACGAUCUACGGAUGAAAGUGGGGGACCUUCGGGCCUCAUGCUUUUGGAGCGGCCGAUAUCUGAUUAGCUAGUUGGUAGGGUAAAGGCCUACCAAGGCGACGAUCAGUAGCUGGUCUGAGAGGACGACCAGCCACACUGGGACUGAGACACGGCCCAGACUCCUACGGGAGGCAGCAGUGGGGAAUUUUGGACAAUGGGCGCAAGCCUGAUCCAGCAAUGCCGCGUGAGUGAAGAAGGCCUUCGGGUUGUAAAGCUCUUUUGUCAGGGAAGAAACGGCCGAGGUUAAUACCUUUGGCUAAUGACGGUACCUGAAGAAUAAGCACCGGCUAACUACGUGCCAGCAGCCGCGGUAAU
rnacentral:rRNA from 1 species